rnacentral:rRNA from 1 species
AACGAACGCUGGCGGCAUGCCUAACACAUGCAAGUCGAACGAGACCUUCGGGUCUAGUGGCGCACGGGUGCGUAACGCGUGGGAACCUGCCCUUAGGUUCGGAAUAACUCCCCGAAAGGGGUGCUAAUACCGGAUAAUGUCUUCGGACCAAAGAUUUAUCGCCUUUGGAUGGGCCCGCGUUGGAUUAGCUAGUUGGUAGGGUAAAAGCCUACCAAGGCGACGAUCCAUAGCUGGUCUGAGAGGAUGAUCAGCCACACUGGGACUGAGACACGGCCCAGACUCCUACGGGAGGCAGCAGUGGGGAAUAUUGGACAAUGGGCGAAAGCCUGAUCCAGCAAUGCCGCGCGAGUGAUGAAGGCCUUAGGGUUGUAAAGCUCUUUUACCCGGGAUGAUAAUGACAGCACCGGGAGAAUAAGCUCCGGCUAACUCCGUG